CUUCGGAGGCGGGCGUUCGCCCGCAUGUUCUUUGACCGGUCCCGCCUCGGCGGGAACGGCGGAUGUGCCGGGAGGAAAGUCCGGACACCGCAGGGCACGACUCCCUUCGCAAGGAGGGGCGCGCCGGGCCAUAUCCCGGUGCGACGGACAGUGUCACAGAAAACAAACUGCCAUGCGCCGCCGUGCGGUUCGCCGUAUGCGCGGCGUGCGGUGAGGGUGAAAAGGUGGGGUAAGAGCCCACCGCGCCGGCAGUGAUGGCGGCGGCACGAAAAACCCAGUCGGGUGCAAGGCAAAAUAGGGGACGGAGCGGCCCGCUCAUUCGUCCCGGGUAUGUCGCACGCGAUUCCGCCACGGUGGGGUCGCGGCACGCGCCUCGCGCGCGGAGCAGAGAAAUGAACGUCACGCGUCGGUCGUGAGGCCGGCGCGCACAGAAUCCGGCUUACAGCCUCCGAAGCCAG
rnacentral:RNase_P_RNA from 1 species